rnacentral:misc_RNA from 1 species
CCAGAACAUCAGGUCUUAGUCCAAUCUAGAAGACAGGAACUAGUUUUACUAGAUAACGAGAUCGUUUUCAAUGAGGCCAUCAUCGAGGAGAGAGACCAGGGCAUACAAGAUGUGCAAAGCCAGAUAGGCGAGGUGAACGAGAUCUUCAAAGAUCUUGCUGUCCUGGUGCAUGACCAAGGAGCUAUGAUCGAUGAUAUCGAUACCCACAUCGAGAAUUCCCAUGCAGCGACCUCACAGGGAAAGACCCAACUGAUCAAAGCAUCCAAAACCCAGAAAUCUAAUUCAUCUUUGGCAUGCUUGCUCUUGGUUAUUUUCGGGAUUGUUCUUCUCAUCGUCAUCAUAAUCUUUGCAGCUUGAUAUCGGAAGAUGCUGAAAU